rnacentral:lncRNA from 1 species
UUGACUUCACAUUUCAUGUUUGCAACCGUAUUUUGUUUCCUAGGGGUGAGAGUCUAUUACACGACAUGAUGGGCUAGUGUUUACUAUUUAGUCUAAAUGGAUCGGGGGGUGAGUCAGGUUGAGCCCACGAACAUCUUUAGCUAAAUGGGUCGGCUUCAGUUUAGCCAGGUUUACAGGCUAACCUUUACAUUUUUAUAUUUGAAAACAUGUGUUUAGUGUCAUAACUUAAGUUGGUUGGGUAUUUUCUACCAUAUUUAAAUGUUGAAAAACUGAGCAAAUUUGUAAUUUUAGAUUAUUAAUAUGCAAAUAAAAUAAAAUGAAGUUCAAGUUAAACAGCUCGUUUCGUGUCAACUUGUGAACAUGCGAGUCUUGUUCGGGUUUUAAGUCCGACAUGAGUUUUGGGUUCGUAUAGUGCCCCUAAUGUUUUAACGUCUCUUGAAAAGUCAAAUAAGUAAAAUAAAAAUUAGCCUAAAAACGAAACGCUCAAAGCGUAUUGUUAAUAUCAUAUAACCUCUUAAAUCAUUUUAUUAAAUAGAAGCUUAAUAAAAUAAUAGAAUAUUUUUAAUUAUAUUUGAGAUCUACCUGGACAAAGACACCAUUGCAAUAGAUAUCACCAACACAACG